rnacentral:rRNA from 1 species
AGAGUUUGAUCAUGGCUCAGAACGAACGCUGGCGGCGUGCCUAAUACAUGCAAGUCGAACGAGAAAGUGGCUUCGGCCAUGAGUAAAGUGGCAGACGGGUGAGUAAUACAUAGGUAACCUACCUUCAAGUUGGGGAUAACCUUCCGAAAGGAGGGCUAAUACCGAAUGAGACCACAGUGACCACGGUCACAGGGGUUAAAGAUGACCUCUACUUGUAAGUUAUCACUUGGAGAUGGGCUUAUGCACCAUUAGCCUGUUGGUGAGGUAACGGCUCACCAAAGCUUUGAUGGUUAGCUGAUCUGAGAGGUUGAUCAGCCACACUGGAACUGAGACACGGUCCAGACUCCUACGGGAGGCAGCAGUAGGGAAUAUUGCGCAAUGGAGGAAACUCUGACGCAGCGACGCCGCGUGGGUGAUGAAGGCCUUCGGGUCGUAAAGCCCUGUCGGAAGGGAAGAAAAACGGUAUGGCUAAUAUCCAUGCCGCUUGACGGUACCUUUAAAGGAAGCACCGGCUAACUACGUGCCAGCAGCCGCGGUAAUACGUAGGGUGCAAGCGUUGUUCGGAAUCAUUGGGCGUAAAGCGCGUGUAGGCGGUUAGGUAAGUCGGGUGUGAAAUCCCUGGGCUCAACCGAGGAAGUGCAUCCGAAACUGCUUAGCUAGAGGACGGUAGAGGAAGGUGGAAUUCCUAGUGUAGAGGUGAAAUUCGUAGAUAUUAGGAGGAAUACCGGUGGCGAAGGCGGCCUUCUGGGCCGAUCCUAACGCUGAGACGCGAAAGCGUGGGUAGCAAACAGGAUUAGAUACCCCGGUAGUCC